rnacentral:rRNA from 1 species
GACGAACGCUGGCGGCGUGCUUAACACAUGCAAGUCGAACGGAAAGGCCCUGCUUUUGUGGGGUGCUCGAGUGGCGAACGGGUGAGUAACACGUGAGUAACCUGCCCUUGACUUUGGGAUAACUUCAGGAAACUGGGGCUAAUACCGGAUAGGAGCUCCUGCUGCAUGGUGGGCGUUGGAAAAUUUCGGCGGUUGGGGAUGGACUCGCGGCUUAUCAGCUUGUUGGUGGGGUAGUGGCUUACCAAGGCCUUGACGGGUAGCCGGCCUGAGAGGGUGACCGGCCACAUUGGGACUGAGAUACGGCCCAGACUCCUACGGGAGGCAGCAGUGGGGAAUAUUGCACAAUGGGCGGAAGCCUGAUGCAGCAACGCUGCGUGCGGGAUGACGGCCUUCGGGUUGUAAACCGCUUUCGCCUGUGACGAAGCGUGAGUGACGGUAAUGGGUAAAGAAGCACCGGCUAACUACGUG